CCAGACUCCUACGGGAGGCAGCAGUGAGGAAUAUUGGUCAAUGGGCGGAAGCCUGAACCAGCCAAGUCGCGUGAGGGAAGAAGGCCCUGCGGGUCGCAGACCUCUUUGGACGGGGAGCAAGGCCGCCGACGUGUCGGCGGAAGGAGAGUACCCGUAGAACAAGCAUCGGCUAACUCCGUGCCAGCAGCCGCGGUAAUACGGAGGAUGCGAGCGUUAUCCGGAUUUAUUGGGUUUAAAGGGUGCGCAGGCGGCGCGGCAGGCGGGCGGGGAAAGGGGGGGGCUAAACCCCGCCCGGCCGUGGGAACUGCCGGGCUAGAGUGGGCGAGAAGUGCGCGGAAUGCGUGGGGUAGCGGUGAAAUGCAUAGAUAUCACGCAGAACUCCGAUUGCGAAGGCAGCGCAACGGCGCCCUACUGACGCUCAGGCACGAAAGCGUGGGUAUCGAACAGGAUUAGAUACCCCGGUAC
rnacentral:rRNA from 1 species